rnacentral:lncRNA from 10 species
AGUUGUCCAGUUCCAUCAAUACAGACUAUCCUAUACAGACAAAGAUGCAGACGUAAGAUUAAAAGGAGCAAAGUUCUCACAUCAAAAGCCUUGCAGUACUCAGAAGAUGGGUGCAAGGCCCAUUUACCAAGUUCUAGGCCAGAGUCCUUCAUCUCUCCAGGUCCAUCCAUCUGCUUAACUCAAACAUUACAUCAGAUAUUCUUCAAAAUGACUGAACAAUGGCAUAUUUUUUUUCUUUUGUCACAACUUGCAUUGAAAUGAUUGUGCUUUGGACCUACAGGUGAGUGUAUACUCUCGGAAAUCCAAAAAGCUGACCUUGUUUGUUUUGUGUGGGAAGCAUUUCAAUGAAAUGAGAGAAACAAGCCCCAUCAACUUCAAACACUAAGAAGAAUACACAAUGAAUGGUGCUUCUUUUCUGCUGGAACAUUCAUUAAUCAGAGUUGACAAGGAUAUGUGGGCUCACAAGGCGGGGUCUCCAGGUGAAACAUUUGAGGGAAAAUCACCUUGUUGUCAUUUCUGCAGAGACAAGAAAAAAGGAGCUUUUAGUCCUUAGAAGUACGAAGACAGUAUCUUCUAGUUCGAUAGCCCCUUCUACAAUAAAGGACUUGGAUGUGCAGUAUCUUAUGCAGCCUCACAACAAACCUGUGAGCAAGGGUGUGGCUUACAUCCAUGUUACCAUGUUUACAAGCAGUAAAACUGAGAAACAGAGAGGGACAACCAUUAGAAAGGCAGUAUAAGGAAAGAUUGGAAAAAAUGUAAACAGCCUCUCAUUCUAAG